rnacentral:rRNA from 1 species
UACGGAGGAUCCGAGCGUUAUCCGGAUUUAUUGGGUUUAAAGGGUGCGCAGGCGGGAGAUUAAGUCGGCGGUGAAAUUUUGCAGCUCAACUGUAAAAGUGCCUUCGAAACUGGUUUCCUUGAGUGUAGAUGAAGUAGGCGGAAUUUGUGGUGUAGCGGUGAGAUGCAUAGAUAUCACGAGGAACUCCGAUUGCGCAGGCAGCUUACUAAACCAUAACUGACGCUCAGGCACGAAGGCGUGGGGAUCAAACAGGAUUAGAUACCCU